GGUGACAUUCGUAUUAUCGGUGCCAUGGGAGACUCCUUAACGGCCGGUAAUGGAAUUCUUGCCAGUAAUAUUAUUGGUGAUUUCAUCGAAUACCGUGGACAAGUCUGGAGCAUUGGCGGAGAUGGAGAUUUGUCAAACACGAUUACUCUCCCAAAUAUUCUGAAGAAGUUUGGUCAGUUCUUGUGGGGUCAAUCGUAUGGUACCGGGUCAGUAGGGACAACCAACUCUAUGCUGAACUAUGCUCACCCAGGGGAUGUAGCAUCAAACAUGCCUGGACAAGCCAACGCCAUCGUUCAGAGGUUGAAAACUGACACUCACGUGCGUUACCAAGACGACUGGAAAGUCAUCACCUUUUUCAUUGGUGGAAACGAUUUGUGUGAUUACUGUCACGACCAGAAUGGCUACUCGGCCGCCAACUACAUUCGUCACGUGAGGGAUGCCCUUGACAUCUUGCAUAACAAUGUUCCCAAGCUGUUCGUUAACUUGGUGGAAAUAUUUGACAUCGCUCCCAUCGCUGCAAUGGAUGGAGGAUUUAUGUGCAAUCUUGUUCACAACAUCGUCUGCGACUGCGGACACAACAAAGCCAACUCUGAGAUGUUGAAGAAUGCUGCCAUGGCUUACCAGCGAGAGCUUCGCGCCCUGGUUAACUCUGGUCGUUACGACACUAGGGGAGAUUUCACAGUGGUGCUUCAGCCAUUCUUCAAAAACACAGAACCACCAACUUUGGGUGGUGGCUCCAUUGAUUUGAGUUUCUUUUCCCCGGAUUGCUUCCAUUUCAGCAAGAAAGGACAGAGCGCCGCCGGUCUCUCCCUGUGGAACAACAUGUUGGAGGCACCCCAAUAUAAAGAAGAGCAGUGGCAUCUGUACGGCGACUUCCAUUGCCCAGGAACACACGCUGGACAUGACCACUCUUUCUUUACUACAUACAAGAAUUAAGCUGGGACGCUUGGUUAUCGGAAUGCAUUAAAUUAUAGGAUAAUGAGGUGGUGUUAUAAAUCACAGGAACUCUUUGCUGUAUAAUCUGUCGGUUUACCAAAAUGCUGUUCCAUGAUGAACUUAAUAAAAUGACAUAAA
rnacentral:misc_RNA from 1 species